rnacentral:rRNA from 1 species
UACGUAGGGCGCAAGCGUUGUCCGGAAUUAUUGGGCGUAAAGAGCUCGUAGGCGGCUUGUCGCGUCUGUUGUGAAAGCCCGGGGCUUAACCCUGGGUCUGCAUUCGAUACGGGCAGACUUGAGUUCGGCAGGGGAGACUGGAAUUCCUGGUGUAGCGGUGAAAUGCGCAGAUAUCAGGAGGAACACCGGUGGCGAAGGCGGGUCUCUGGGCCGACACUGACGCUGAGGAGCGAAAGCGUGGGGAGCGAACAGG